rnacentral:piRNA from 1 species
CAUGUACUCACUCAUAAACCUUGCCU